UUGUAGCCGUGUUCGUGUACGGCAACGGU
rnacentral:sRNA from 1 species